GUAUAUGGUAGAUGCUGCAGACCAGGAUAAAGUGGAAGCCUCAAGAAAUGAGCUUCAUAAUUUGCUGGACAAGCCUCAGCUCCAGGGUAUUCCUGUCCUAGUUCUGGGCAACAAGAGGGACCUGCCAGGUGCUCUGGAUGAGAAACAAUUGAUAGAAAGAAUGAAUUUGUCAGCCAUCCAAGAUAGGGAAAUUUGUUGUUACUCAAUCUCAUGUAAAGAAAAGGAAAAUAUAGAUAUCACAUUACAGUGGUUGAUACAGCAUUCCAAGAGUGGGCGUUAACUGCUCUAACAAUUCCAUAAUUGACUGUUGCUGUUGAACUAUCCCAGCGAGGAUGACGUAUGUGACAUUGAGAGUAGCCAGAGAACAAAUGACUUUCUAUGUCCUGAAUGAUGAUAUUGUACAAAUUAUAGUAUUAUUUUAUGGAUAAGUCAAGUUGUGAUUUCUAUCCUUGGCUGAGAUUGGGCAAGUUCUGUCAACAAUUACCAUUCUAUUUGGUCUUGUAAUGAAGACCUCUUUCUGUGUAUAUUUGUGUAUCAUAACACAUGUGCUAUGAUAUUUAAUGUUGGCCUAUAAAUGUAAAAACCUAGUGAGACAUGUCUUAUAAAUCUGCACUCAAAUUUUGGAAAGACUUUUGAAAGUGACCACUGUAAAGGAAGGAAAAACAUCAGAAAAAAGAUGGACUAGUGACCACUAGAUAAAAAACAGUGCAGAAUUAACUGUCCAUGUGGCAAAUAUAUUGCAAAGUUCUGAAGAACAAUUUAAAUUGCCGCAUAUACAAAAGUAAAUAUCACAAGCAUGUCACUUGUUUUCCUUUUAUAUAAUAGAAAAGUAUAAAUCCUAAGAAUACUUAUAGCUGUGCUGUUUUUGUACUUUUUGUUUAAGCUUCAUUAUUCAUUGAAAAUGAUAUACUAGUAAAAUGAUGGUCAACGAUUUCCAUUUGAUUGUUGUAUGUGUAUCUUGGUAAUUCUAAUAUAUAGAUACAGCUCAAGUUGAAGAUAUGAACCCAGUUUUAGAUAUAUAAUUAAUAUUAAGGGCACUUUGGCAAUUUGUGAAAGGGGAAUGACAAACCACUGAGCACUUUCAAAUUGGCAAUGUUCUGUACAAGUAAAUGUUGAGAUAUAGGUGACAACAUUUUACUGUUAAUUGGCAUGAUUUGUUUAAAUUGGACAAAAAUCCUAAAUGCCAAUUUAUACAACCUGAAGAGCUCAUCUUGCAUCAACUUGAAAUUUUGGACAAUUCCUGUAGCUGCUUAUUUGAGUUAAUGUGUGACAGUGUCAAAUUUCUGCUACAACUCUUACUGUUAAUUUUCAUGAUUUUUUAAAAAAUUGGACAAAAGUCCCUGAUGCCAAUUAAUAAAGCCUGAAGAGCUCAUCUUGAUUUCACUUGCAUUAACUUAAAAUUUUGGACAAUUACUGUGUCCACCUCUUAUCUAUAAGAGAUCGUUCGGAUCAAAUUGUUCUGCAGACUUACUUAAAAUGGCUGACUCACUUUAAAGCAGUGCCAACCAAUUCCUUGAUGGCCUCCCUAACUCCACAUGCACUGAUGUGACGGGCUUUGUAAUUAAACAUCAGAGCCCAGAUUUAAUCUGCUUAAUGGGGCAUGCAGAGGUGGGGAGACCAUCAUGGGAUUAAGUAGAACUGUUCUUAAGAGUUAGGGUUAGGGCAUGCAGAGGUGGGGAGACCAUCAUGGGAUUAAGUAGAACUGCUCUUAAGAGUUAAGGUUAGGGCAUGCAGAGGUGGGGAGACCAUCAUGGGAUUAAGCAGAGCUGCUUUUAAAAGUUGGCCAUAUUUAGUCAGGGGAUCAGUUAAUCUGUGGAUCAUGUUCUGAAUACACUCUAAAUGUCAGUCUCAAAUUUUGGCUGCAACUCUUGCCAUUUAUAAAUUUUAAAAUAAGAAUAAUGCAAAUGAAGGCUUUCUGUAUUUUAAUUUUAUUUAUCCAUUAUUGUUUGGGUCAGGAAGGCAUGUAGGUCUUCCCCAGAUGUUGACUUAAUGAACGGUCAGGUAACUGCUACACGUAUAAUUGUAAACUUUGAUUAAUUUAAAGUUUGAUCUGUUAGCACUUCCUCUCUGUAUACCGUUGAAGCGUGGCACUGCACGUUUUGUUUGGUCAGAACAAGAGAAUGAAAGAAAUUUAGCGGAGAACCUCUGUUGAAAUGUUAGCAGGAAGGUGAGAUGAAAACGGUAAUGGUGUGUAAUAAAGUAUUAUUGCUGUU
rnacentral:misc_RNA from 1 species